GGUAGGGUAGACCGGGGACAAUUGAAACACGUUAUGAUUGAAACAAGUCAAAUUUCUCGAUAACUAUAAUACCUACGCGUCUGACGCAAUACUCGGAACACGCGGUCGGCCAUGUUUGAAUCCUCGGCCAGUAGCGCUCAAGCGCCGGUGCGAGACGGGAGUGUCCACGAGCCAAGCCAGUUUUUCGCGGUAAAAAAUGCCCCGAAAACGGAAACAUCUCACGGAGCGAACCUCAAAAAGCCUGUUUGCCUAUCAACAGGCUUAUGAGGAAGUAAUCUCGGGGAAGUCCUUAAGAAAAGCGGCCCAAAUGUUUGAUUUAGAUCAUGUCUCGCUGGCAAGAUACAAAAAAAAAAGAGAAGCAGCAUCAGAUAUACCUAUAGAAGAUAUAAAAAUGGGUUAUAAUUCUGCAAAAAAAGUGGCCACCUCCUUUCUAAUAAUAAUAAAACAAUUUAAACUGAUAUUUUAUUGCGCCUAUUAUUUCAUUUUACAUUCCGACGUCUGCACACUCAUCACAGGGUGUGUGGGAAAGGUUAUGAUUGAAACAUUGUUAUAGUUGAAACAAGCAUUUUUGUAUGGAACAUAAUUGUGCUUGUUUUUUGCGAUUCCUUAUCGUUAUAUCUUAGAAUUUCAUUAAAAUUACUUUGGUUAAGGUAAACGCAUAAGGUGGCAGCGAAAAAGAAAAUUAAAAGUCGUAUAAGUACUAUUUUUUCCCCAAGUUUUAUUAUAGAGAUGUUCAGAUGCUCAUAAAUUGAAAUAUGUUUAUGUUAUGCUUGCAAACUUUUAAUGAGCUCAUUGUAUGCUGAGGUAGUGAUGAAAAAGAUUGAAAGGGAUAUAAGUACUUUAAUUGUGCCGAAGAUAUUUGAGUGUUUCAAUUAACCUCACGUAGUGUUUCAAUUGACAGUCAUGUGAGGUCAAUUGAACCAUACUGCCCCAUUAUCUUUAUUACAUUAUUUAAAAAAAACUAUGGACUAUAGACCGUUCAAAUACAUUUUAUUUAGGAACCAGAUAACUAACCUUGAAAUAUUUCGAGCGUACAUCUUUCUACUCAUAAAAAUAUAACGAUCACAGGCGGUUAAA